UAGAACACUCCAUGCUUCAUGUAACUAUUAGGAUGGAUUGGGAUUGCCCUAAGACCCAAGCUUUUCUUUUUUUCAUUUUAGUUCUGUUUGUUUAUAUGUGCCUCUGUCCUCCUGCUUUUCUGCACCCACUGCUUGUCAUGGCUCUGCUGGUCUCAGAGGAACUAAUUGGCCAUGGCAUUUCCUGCCUUAGUCAUCAGGCAUUUACUUCUUAGUUCUUCACAGCCUCCUGGCAGGAACUGGGAAGGUAAAUCUUCGAUUCUAAGCACCGCCCUGAGAACUCAUAGGUUAAAGUCUUGGAUACCAGCUGAUGAGACUCCCACUUCACCACUGGAUUCACCCAUUGGUGCUUUCAGAAUAUUUCCUUGGUGGCUCCAGAGUGAGGAGAAACACAGAUUAUAACCAGCAUAACUUGUUUGCAUACUGACUACAAAGAUGAAAACAGUGGUUUUCAAAACCCAUAGAGAUUUCAACUUAUGUAACUUCUGAAACUUGUAUUGCCUUGAGAGAUGCUGCCUCUCCAGGAUGGGAUAUAAGGGAAUGUCCAAGCAUUUCCAAAGAAGCAAAGCUUUCUGUGCAUGGUAUCUUUCAUUUUAAGGAUACAGGAGGAGUCUUGAGUUUUGAAGCAUUUAUUGGAUGGCUGCUCUGAAAUCUGCCAGGAAAUGGAAAUAAAGACAUAAAUCAAUGGUCUCCGCUCUACCCUUAAGCAUCUCUCAUUCUAAGAGGAAGAGACAUGGUUCUGUGUAAUUAUUAUACCGUGAAGUAAAAGUAGGAAAAUGUAGUGAGUGAAUAACCUGUUAGAAAUAUUGAUUUAUUUUUCCCAGUCUUUAAUUCUAAAUUCUUCCUUAGUCCUCUGUUUUCCAAUCUUUGCCAACCCUUCCCUUAUCCUAUUAACUAGCUUCUUUGGGGAUUCUGGGAUUCAAAGAUAAUGUAUUAUAAAGAAAAGGGAAAAAGGACCACUACUUUUGCAAAGGAUGGAAAAUAAAUACAACAAGGAAGGGUAGAACCUAGCCAGAAAAGGACUGUCUACAUCAAAGAGUAGAAGAAGGCAGUAGAUAGAGACAAAUGUUAGAACACAUUUUUAAAAAAUAAGAAAAAUACUAGCUCAGAGAAUAAGGCAUAACUCAGAAGAAUCACAUAAAGUCCUUUAGUUUGGGGCUAUAUGUGAUUUCAUUGUUUUGGGAAAAAUUAUUUUAAGAAUAAAGAUCAAACUGUGAGAUGGCAGAUUUUAUACUUUUUAAAAACACCUAUUUCUUUUUGAGUUCUGUGGACUAUAUCUUGGGUAGUCUGUACUUUUUAAUUUUUCUUUUGGUAAUAUUCAUUUAUGAGUGAGUACAUACUUCAGUCAGGAUGAUAUUUUCUAGUUCCAUCCAUUUGCCUGCAAAACUCAGGAUGUCUUCGUUCUUUAUAACUGAGUAAUAUUCCAUUGUGUAAGUGACCACAUUUUCUGUAACAAUUCUUCUGUCGUGGGACAUCUGGGUUGCUUCCAGCUUCUGGCUAUCAUAAAUAAAGCCACUAUGAACAUAGUGGAACACAUGCCCCUGUGGAAUGGUGGGGCAUCUUUGGGGUAUAUUCCCAAGAGUGGUAUUUCUGAGUCUUCAGCUAGAUCUAUUUCCAAUUUUCAGAGGAACCUCAAGAUUGAUUUCCAAAGUGGUUUUUAACAUUUUACAAUCCCACCAGCAAAGGAGGAGUGUUCCUCUUUCUCCACGUCUUUGACAACAUGCAUUGUAACCUAAUGUUUUGAUCUUUGCCAUUCUGAUUGCUAUAAGGGGGAAUCUCAGGGUCAUUUUGAUUUGCAUUUCUCUGACCACUACAGGAUGAAUGGCCAAAGUGAGGGCCCACUUGGGCGUAGAAGAAAGCAAUCACAAGUGGGGAGUGAGGGAGGGACCAGGGAGGAAAGCUGUUGAGGAGAGAGAGGAAUCUGAUCUGGUAUUGGGUGAUGGAAAAUGACUGAAUCCUUGAGGGCAAGCAGAAAGAAUAGAAACACACAAUCUCAGGAGGUAGGAGGUUGAGGGGACCCUCCAGAAUGCACCAGAGACCUGUAAGGUGAGAGAAUCCCAGGACUCAAAGGGAGGGACCUUAGAUGAAAUGCCUGACAGUUGCGAGAGGAAACUUAUAGACUUCACCUCCAGCAGGAAGACAGGGCAUCAAAUGAGGGAUGAGGUUGCCAUCCCAGAGUCAAAACUCUGACCCAAAAUUGUCCCUGUCUGAAAGAACUGCAGGGAUAGAAAGCGAGAGGAGCCUGAGGAAAAGAAGUUCCAAUGAAAGGCCCAAAGUGGAAUCCAGCUCAAGGGAAGGUCCCAAGGCCUGACACUAUUACUAAGGCUAUGGAGCACUCACAAAAAGGGACCUGGCAUGACCACAUUCCAGAAGACCCAACAAGUAACUGAAAGAGUCAUAGACAGAUAGUUGCACCUGACCAAUGGACCAAAAGCAGCUGACCCCUGUUGUUGAAUUAGGGAAAGACUGAAAGAAGCAGAGAGGAGGGUGACCCUGUAGGAGGAACAACAGUCUCAAAUAAUCUGGACCCCUGAGGUCUCUUAAACACUGGACCACCAACCAGGCAGCAUACACCAGCUGAUGUGAGACCCCCAACACAUAUAUAGCAGAGGACUGCCAGGUCUGUGUUCAUUCAGCGAUGAUGCACCUAAUCCUCAAGAGACUGGAGGCCCCAGGGAGUUUAGAGGUCAGGUUGGGUGGGGGUAGGGGUGGAAACAUCCUCAGGGAGACAGGGUGAUGGGAGGAGGUAUGGAAUAUGGGACAGUCAGAGGGUAGACUUGGGGGCAGGGGGGAUAAAAUCUGGAGUGUAAAAAUAAAUAAACAAACAAACCCACUUGUUUCUUUAAUUUUUGCUCAUGUGAAUGUGUGUGGUUUUGAGUGCAGUCUACAUCUUUUUAAAUACUCACUGAGGCCAUAAGAAGGCCUGAUCCUGGUGCUGAGAACUUAACUCAGGACUUCUGGAAGAGAAGUGCAUGCUUUUCCUAAUUGUUGAGAGUCAUAUCUCCAGCCCUGUUUGCUCCUUUUAGUUUAUUCCCCUAACUGAGAAAUGUUUGAAGCCCAGAAUAGAAUUUUCAACCAAGUAACUGGAUUUCAAAGUUGAAGUAACAUAUGAAGUAUUCACUCAUUGCUUUGCCUUUGUCUCCCAAAGUGAAAGAACUCAGGGUAUACAGAAACUGAUUGAACAUACAUUCCUACCACAGGUCUAACUACAGUGUUGUAUUCUAAAUGUGAGAUCCACGCACGUUUGAGUAGUUGCUCCCCAGCUACUGGAACUCUUUGAGAAGGCCUCACCGGCAUUGGAAAGUAUUGCCUCUCUGGAAGAAGUGAGCCACUGGCGGUGACACCUGAGGCUUUGUAGCUGGGGCCCACUUCUUUUUCCCUGUCUGCUUUCUGAAUGUGAGAGCUACAUGACCCUCCAGUGUCUGCCUAUACCAUCCAUCAUGUCUUUCCUGCUGGACUCUACCUUUUCCCUGCUAUGAUGGAAUGUAUAUCUCUGGAAUUGGGUCCUGAGUUCAAUUCCCAGCAACCACAUGGUGUCUCACAACCACCUGUAAAUGGGAUCUGAUGUGUGUGUCUGAAGAUAACGCAACAUAUCAUAUAUAA
rnacentral:lncRNA from 1 species